UUUUUCUUCCAAUUAUCAAGAAACUGGGCCCCGUAAAGGCUUCAGCGUUCCCGUUAAGGUCGCCGUCGACCGCCACCAGCUCGGCCCAGUUAUUGUCCCUUCUAUCUCUGGCGAUGGAGGCGUUCAGGGUCUGAGAUGGCAUGCAAAGCGCCUCAAGAUAGAUGAAGAUGGUGACGUGGCAGAUGAAUUCCUUGAAGAGGUUUUACCAGAGACAUCAUCCUGUGUUGAUGACCACCAUAAACCAUUGCCGAGGUUUGAAGUGAAGUAUAGUGCCCGACCUGCAAAAAUCAAGAACCAGGUGAUUUCCCAUGAUGGGAAAUUCCAAGUGUGUGUAGAAUAUCAAGGUAGAUUACAAUGGGUGUGAUGUAUUUUGACAUCAAAGUUGAGGUUUGUGGGUUGGGUUUCACUCUUAAGUCUAUAGCACAAGAAUUAGCUUGCACGAGCCAACAAUAUAAUACUUGUUUAGAUCAGAUUUGUGGUUUUCCAAUGUGGCAUGAAAUGAACUGUUGUAACAAUGCACCCAAAUUGUAUUAGUAUCUGCAUUACAUAGGCC
rnacentral:misc_RNA from 1 species